UAGGCUACGAGGCAGGAACGGUUGGUCUGG
rnacentral:sRNA from 1 species